GUCCAUGAUGGCAGACAAGCACAUGCAGAAGGGCUAAAACCUUCCCACGAAAGUUAAAUUCUUUCUCUGGACU
rnacentral:tRNA from 2 species